AGCGAACGCUGGCGGCAGGCUUCACACAUGCAAGUCGAGCGCCCCGCAAGGGGAGCGGCAGACGGGUGAGUAACACGUGGGAACGUGCCUUGUGGUUCCGAACAAACCAGGGAAACUUGGGCUAAUACCGGAUAAGCCCAUAUGGGGAAAGAUUUAUCGGCAGAAGAUCGGCCCGCUUCUGAUUAGCUAGUUGGUGGGGUAAUGGCCCACCAAGGCUACGAUCAGGAGCUGGUAUGAGAGGAUGAUCAGUCACCUUGAGACUGAUACACGUCCCAAACUCCUACGGGAGGCAGCAGUGGGGAAUAUUGGACAAUGGGGGCAACCCUGAUCCAGCCAUGCCGCGUGAGUGAUGAAGGCCUUAGGGUUGUAAAGCUCUUUUAGCAGGGAAGAUAAUGACGGUACCUGCAGAAAAAGCCCCGGCUAACUUCGUGCCAGCCGCCGCGGUAA
rnacentral:rRNA from 1 species